AGCGAACGCUGGCGGCAGGCCUAACACAUGCAAGUCGAACGGACCUUUCGGGGUUAGUGGCGGACGGGUGAGUAACACGUGGGAACGUGCCUUUAGGUUCGGAAUAGCUCCUGGAAACGGGUGGUAAUGCCGAAUGUGCCCUUAGGGGGAAAGAUUUAUCGCCUUUAAAGCGGCCCGCGUCUGAUUAGCUAGUUGGUGAGGUAAUGGCUCACCAAGGCUACGAUCAGUAGCUGGUCUGAGAGGAUGACCAGCCACAUUGGGACUGAGACACGGCCCAAACUCCUACGGGAGGCAGCAGUGGGGAAUCUUGCGCAAUGGGCGAAAGCCUGACGCAGCCAUGCCGCGUGGAUGAUGGAGGUCUUAGGAUUGUAAAAUCCUUUCACCGGUGAAGAUAAUGACUGUAGCCGGAGAAGAAGCCCCGGCUAACUUCGUGCCAGCAGCCGCCGUAA
rnacentral:rRNA from 1 species